AUUGAACGCUGGCGGCAGGCCUAACACAUGCAAGUCGAGCGAGCGGCGGACGGGUGAGUAAUGUAUGGGGACUGCCCGAUAGAGGGGGAUAACUACUGGAAACGGUAGCUAAUACCGCAUACUAUCGGAUAACCCAUAUGGGAGUAGCUAGUAGGUGAGGUAAUGGCUCACCUAGGCGACGAUCCCUAGCUGGUCUGAGAGGAUGAUCAGCCACACUGGGAGUGGGACACGGCCCAGAGUCCUACGGAGGCAGCGGUGGGGAAUAUGGCACAAUGGGCGCAAGCCUAAGGCAGCCAUGCCGCGUGUAUGAAGAAGGCCCUAGGGUUGUAAAGUACGUUCAGGCGGGAGGCGUUACCGACAGAGGAAGCACCGGCUAACUCCGUGCCAGCGGCCGCGGUAAUA
rnacentral:rRNA from 1 species